GGCGUAAGCCAGGUCGGUUUCUAUCUUUAAUAAAAGAGAAUAUUUUAGUACGAAAGGACCAAAUAUUUAAUAUAUUUAUAUUUUAUUUAUUGAAUUUUAUUAAUUUG
rnacentral:rRNA from 1 species